ensembl:lncRNA
CAACAAGUGAACAUAUAGUUAUCCCUUCACUAUUGCAUAUGUGUGUAUCUCUUUUUAAGCAAGUCAGACUUCUGAGCAGAUACACUCAAAUUACUUCUUGUCAAUCAAGUAACUUUUAAAAUGAUGCACAAGAAUAAAGGUGGUUCAUUUUCUGUCAUGUGUAGGUAAUUUAUAAACCAAGUGCCCCAACUCCUGAUGUCUUUUGCAUAAAUCUCUGCCUGUCCAUGCUGUGUUUGGUUUCUUUUCAGUGAGGUCCAGCUACAAGUCUGAAUGCCCUCAACACAUAUCUGCUUUGUUAAUCUGAAUGUGUUCUGUCUUAUGCAGCAUUUAAAUCAUUGGCCUUUCUGUAUUUUUAAUUUCCGUCCCCCACACUCUUUUCUACCCAGUUCAAUUAUAAAAAACACAGGGCCUGCCCUGUUUAGGGAGGCAAAAAUCUUACACUGUGGGAUCUCAGGAACUGACUCUUCGCCAUACCCACUUUACAAAAGCUGGCCCUACUUAUGCUGGGAAUUCCUUCAACAGAGGAAAACAUGCUGCAUUGCCCUGCUUGAGGGGAAGGAUACAGUGCCCAAACCAGAGUGAGACAUUAAUAAGCAUGAACUCCUGGACUCAAGCAGUCCUCCUGCUUCAGCCUCCUGAGUAGCUGGGACUACAGAUGUACACCCUGUGCCUGGCUAGGCAUGAAUCUUUUUAACCACAGGUGCAUGAAAACUCCGUGGAAAAUGCAAGUCUUAUAUCCGCCAUUCCAGCCAGGGUGGCUGCUGCACUUCUGGAGUGGAGUGUGAGGGGUUAAUUAGAAAGAGGUACUUAAAUGAAACAGAAUUCUUGUGGCUCUCUAAUAUCUGCACUUUUCUUAAAACAUACAAAUCCUGUUUGGCAAGGAAAUCACAAAAGUAGAAACGGCAGGGAUUUUCUUAAAGCGUGGUUUUGUACAAUUUCCAAUUAAUUUACUGCCUAUCCAACCACUGUCGAAUUGGAAAUGCUUUUAUUAACAUAUAGCACCCUAGGACUUCUUGAAAGUGUUAAGGCUUGAAAGUAAAUCAAAAGAAAAGGGAAAAAAUUGAAAAGGGAUGAGAGAAAACCCUCUAUCACAUACACACACACACACAAACACACACAGACACACACACACACACACUUAAUUUAAAGUACUUGCACAGUGGGUUAGCAUGGGACACCCAGGUUGCAUUAAUACAUUUCAGAAAGCAGGUGUCUUUAAACUGAAAGCUCAGAAGUUGGCUCCCUUCCAGACUCCUGUAAUAUACUGUGAUAACCUCAAAGUUUCAAAAAAAUAAAAUUGAUGCUUGAUGUUGCUCUCAAUAAUAAGUUUUGGAUUUGGGGCAGCUAGUUCUAACAACAAAGGAUUUUAUGAUAACAAACCCCAAACUCUCUAGAAUUCCCUUUUCUUCUCCCCUUCUUCAUCCUUGUCCUUAAGGAUACAUGGUGGCUUCUAUAUGCCAGAUGAACAAUGCUUUUCCAGGUGUGGGCUUGUGUGUCUGUGCUUGCGUGUGUGUGUGUGUGAAUGUGGCUGAAGGAGAAAAUUUUCUGUUCUCCCUUAUCUCAUUAGGCAGGUGAGAAUGACCUCUUCUCUAUUUCCUUCAUGCUCUGUGAUAACCUCAAAGUUUCAAAAAAAUAAAAUUGAUGCUUGAUGUUGCUCUCAAUAAUAAAUUUUGGAUUUGGGGCAGCUAGUUCUAACAACAAAGGAUUUUAUGAUAACAAACCCCAAACUCUCUAGAACUCCCUUUUCUUCUCCCCUUCUUCAUCCUUGUCCUUAAGGAUACAUGGUGGCUUCUGUAUGCCAGAUGAACAAUGUUUUUCCAGGUGUGGGCUUGUGUCCCACAUUAUAUUGUAAUUAUCCUUGAUAUUUACCAGGUUUCAAUUGCUUUUGAACAAAAUUGCCCCAGGACUGUGUGCUCUAUGAAGGAAGGGCCUGCACCUGGCCUGUUUAACCCUGAGUCUCUAGAUUUUGCUACAGUGCCCAAACCAGAGUGAGGUAUUAGUAAGUAUGAGAGAUAUUGUUUGUUGAUGCUAGGUCUCAUCCCAGCCCUUCUAAACUCUUUCCUGUAUUAGAGGGUGUAAACCUGAAGACUGGACUCCCUUGCCUACAGGAUCUAGUAGAUAUCAUCAAUGAGAGGAACUUAGGUAAAAUUUGAAAGGUUAAAAAAAAAAAACAAAACUAGAAGCCGCUGUUCCUCUGAUGACAUUUAUUAGCAAGUGUGUGAGCAUUAGUGAUGAAAGAGGUGAUGUUUUACCUGUGACUUUGGAGCUCCCUCUUAAGAAUCACCUACUCUGGUGGCUGUAGGUAGCCAAGACUUGUGGUAGUGGCUUUCCUGUGAUCUCUGCACCUCUAGAUUUCUUAAAAACAUUCUUUCUGCCCUUUGCUCCUGCAGCUGGAACGCCAAUGGUCAUGCAAAUCUCUAUUUUUCUGUGGUAAACCUCUUCCUAUUUUAAAUACCUAUAAUGAUUAUUCUUUGCCUGAUUUAACUCUGAUUGAUAAAAUAAAUUGACUGUUGACUGCCUGAACAGAAAGUUUGUAAUGUGUAAUAAUAUUUGAUUUUCUGAUUUGAAUUAUUCAUAUUGGAAAAUGUGUACAUUACUAGCUAGUGAGGGUUAUUACUCACUAGCAUACUGCUUAGUGGACAGGCGAAGGUCCACAUCUCAGACUGGUUUUGUUGUAUAUUGAUGGUGGUCUCAUAUACACAGCUCUUACACAUAAACUCGGCUCUUACAAAGAGAUGAAACAGUGUUUGUUGAAGAAAGUAAUAGCUACUCCCUAAAAAUGGAAAGAAAAGGAAUGAAAGGGUUAUAAGAAAAAUGAGAGUUCCGUAUCAUUUAGUUUUUCCUGGGAAACAAUAUCAACAUCUCAGUGGCUUACAACAUUUAUUUUCUUGUUCACUGGUUUGCAGGUCAGCUGUGGCUUUGCUAACUCAACUGGGAAUUGGCUGGGCUUGGCUUCAAGUUGUCAAAAGGGUUCACACCGGUUCCACCUGUUUUUCCUUUCUCCUUGGACUAGCAGCCCUCCAAUUCAGGCUCGUCUAUGGCAAAUCACAGGAGUACUCUAUGGGUACAGACAAGACAUUUAAAGGUGUGUCUGUAUCAUGUCUCCUAAUUCCAUAGGCUAAAGCAAGUCUCCUGACCAGCCACACCAUCCAUAAACAGCAGUCUACUCUAGUCACACUUGAAGUGAACUGGAAAAUGUAUGUGGAUGUAUAAUUCUAGUAUACAAAAAGUGAAGAGAAGUAGGGACAGAGAUCCACCAUAGGUAUCUUGUCAAAACAAGAGCUUUGUAGAUAAAUUGUACUAGAAUACCCAAUCAGGUCAUGGCUUCUCUGUGCAGUGUGGAUCUAAUUCUCUAGAAAAAAGAGAACACACAACUCAUGAAACUGUUUCUAGGUAAAAGGUUCUUGUCAAAUGAGAGAACAAAAGGUGAAAGUGAGUGUGUGAGCAGUCAUAGGGAAAAAUAUGGUACGAUGUGAAGCUAUUCAGCCUUAAAAGGAAGGAAAUUCUGACACAUGCUACCAUAUGGAUGAACCUUAUGGACCUUAUGUCACAAAAGGACAAAUACUGCAUGAUUACACUUAGAUGAGAUAUGUAUCCAGACUAGGCAAAUUCAUAGAGACAGAAAGAGAAAGAGAAUGAUGGUUUCCAAGAAGCUGGGAGGGUGUUGGGUAUUGAGGAGUUAUGGUUUAAUUGGUAUAGAGUUUCAGUUAGAGAAGAUGACCAAGUCCUCGAGGUGGAUGGUGGCGAUGAGGGCACAGCAAUGUGAAUGUACUUAGUACCACUAACCAUACACUUAAAAAUUAUUUAAGUGAUAACUGUUAUGUAUAUUUUACCAUGAUAAAAACAGG